rnacentral:pre_miRNA from 1 species
UACUCCGUCCGUCCCAAAAUAUAGCAAUCUUGUACUGGAUGAGAUACAUCCUAGUACAAGAUUGCUAUAUUUUGGGACGGAGGGAUUAC